UACGUAGGCAGCGAGCGUUGUUCGGAGUUACUGGGCGUAAAGGGUGUGUAGGCGGUCCUCUAAGUUUGGGGUGAAAUCUCCCGGCUCAACCGGGAGGGUGCGCCGAAAACUGGAGGGCUAGAGUGCGGGAAGGGAGAGUGGAAUUCCUGGUGUAGCGGUGAAAUGCGUAGAUAUCAGGAGGAACACCGGUGGUGUAGACGGCUCUCUGGACCGUAACUGACGCUGAGACACGAAAGCGUGGGUAGCAAACAGG
rnacentral:rRNA from 1 species